GUAGCUCUCUUUGCCUUUUGGCUUAGAUCAAGUGUAGUAUCUGUUCUUUUCAGUUUAAUAUCUGAAAUAUCGUCCACGCGACGAUAUCGGUUAUUAAUAUUAUUUUUGCCCUUCGAGGCAGACCUCUUGGCUUGCCAACGUCUUCCUCACUGUGUCUCCGGUAUUGCACUACCUCCGGAUGAUGCGAAGCAUU
rnacentral:snRNA from 1 species